rnacentral:ncRNA from 1 species
UACACCACUGACGAUUGAGACAUCGUUAUAUCCGCAAUUAUUUGUUUUGGUGAGUGAAAAUUAACUCGAUACAGGGCACGCGGUAAAGCGGUCGCACCUGCCGCGUGUAGGGGAUAGAA